UUUUGUCCGUUCUUUCCGUUGUUUUUGUUGUUUUUUGAACUGUCACCUAAUUUUCUGCCCUAUGUUUCUGUGUUUGUGGAGGUUCUUUCCGUUCUUUCCGUUUUUUGUUGUUUUUGAACUGUCACCUAAUUUUCUGCCCUAUGUUUCUGUCUCUGUGGAGGUUCUUUCCGUUCUUUCCGUUCUUUCUGUUGUUGUUUUUUGAACUGUCACCUAAUUUUCUGCCCUAUGUUUCUGUCUCUGUGGAGGUUCUUUCCGUUCUUUCCGUUCUUUCCGUUGUUGUUUGAACUGUCACCUAAUUUUCUGCCCUAUGUUUCUGUCUCUGUGGAGGUUCUUUCCGUUCUUUCCGUUCUUGUUCUUGACUUCCUAUUUUCCCUUGUUUCUUCUCUGUUCUUUCCGUUCUUUUCUUGUUGUUUUUGAACUGUCACCUAAUUUUCUGCCCUAUGUUUCUGUCUCUGUGGAGGUUCUUUCCGUUCUUUCCGUUCUUUCCGUUCUUUUUGUUGUUUUUGAACUGUCACCUAAUUUUCUGCCUAUGUUUCUGUCUCUGUGGAGGUUCUUUCCGUUCUUUCCGUUCUUUCCGUUUUUCCGUUGUUGUUUUGAACUGUCACCUAAUUUUCUGCCCUAUGUUUCUGUCUCUGUGGAGGUUCUUUCCGUUCUUUCCGUUCUUUCUGUUGUUGUUUUUGAACUGUCACCUAAUUUUCUGCCCUAUGUUUCUGUCUCUGUGGAGGUUCUUUCCGUUCUUUCCGUUCUUUCCGUUCUUUUGUUGUUUUUGAACUGUCACCUAAUUUUCUGCCCUAUGUUUCUGUCUCUGUGGAGGUUCUUUCCGUUCUUUCCGUUCUGUCCGUUCUUUCCGUUCUUUUUGUUGUUUUUGAACUGUCACCUAAUUUUCUGCCCUAUGUUUCUGUCUCUGUGGAGGUUCUUUCGUUCUUUUCCGUUUUUGUUUUUUUUUUUUUUUUUUUUUUUUUUUUUUUUUUUUUUUUUUUUUUUUUUUUUUUUUUUUUUUUUUUUUUUUUUUUUUUUGACUGUCACCUAAUUUUCUGCCCUAUGUUUCUGUCUCUGUGGAGGUUCUUUCCGUUCUUUCCGUUUUUCUUCUUUCCGUUCUUUCGUUGUUGUUUUUGACUGUCACCUAAUUUUCUGCCUAUGUUUCUGUCUCUGUGGAGGUUCUUUCCGUUCUUUCCGUUCUUUCGUUUUGUUUUUGAACUGUCACCUAAUUUUCUGCCCUAUGUUUCUGUCUCUGUGGAGGUUCUUUCCGUUCUUUCCGUUCUUUCCGUUCUUUCCGUUGUUGUUUUUGAACUGUCACCUAAUUUUCUGCCCUAUGUUUCUGUCUCUGUGGAGGUUCUUUCCGUUCUUUCCGUUCUUUCCGUUCUUUCCGUUGUUGUUUUUGAACUGUCACCUAAUUUUCUGCCCUAUGUUUCUGUCUCUGUGGAGGUUCUUUCCGUUCUUUCCGUUCUUUCCGUUUUUGUUGUUUUUUGAACU
rnacentral:lncRNA from 7 species